UGGGGAAUUUUGCACAAUGGGCGGAAGCCUGAUGCAGCGACGCCGCGUGGAGGAUGAAGGCCUUCGGGUUGUAAACUCCUUUUCUCAGGGACAAUGAUGAUGGUACCUGAGGAAUAAGCCACGGCUAACUCUGUGCCAGCAGCCGCGGUAAGACAGAGGUGGCGAGCGUUGUUCGGAAUCACUGGGCUUAAAGGGCGCGUAGGUGGUAGUGCAAGUCUGGGGUGGAAUCCUGCGGCUUAACCGCAGAACUGCCCUGGAAACUGUAUUACUUGAGUCAGUGAGGGGAGGGUAGAAUUCCUGGUGUAGCGGUGAAAUGCGUAGAUAUCAGGAGGAAGGCCGGUGGCGAAGGCGGCCCUCUGGCGCUGAACUGACACUGAGGCGCGAAAGCGUGGGUAGCAAACAGGAUUAGAGUACCCUGGUAGUCCACGCCCUAAACGGUGGGUACUAGGUGUAGGGCUCGUAAGGG
rnacentral:rRNA from 1 species